rnacentral:rRNA from 1 species
GGUAAACGCUGGCGGCGUGCCUAAAACAUGCAAGUCGAACGCACAGUCGCAAGACUGUGAGUGGCAGACGGCUGAGUAACGCGUGAGUGACAUACCCGUUGGUGGGGAAUAACUGCCCGA